rnacentral:rRNA from 1 species
GAAGGUGUACUGUGAGGUAUGCUGGAGGUAUCAGAAGUGCGAAUGCUGACAUAAGUAACGAUAAAGCGGGUGAAAAGCCCGCUCGCCGGAAGACCAAGGGUUCCUGUCCAACGUUAAUCGGGGCAGGGUGAGUCGACCCCUAAGGCGAGGCCGAAAGGCGUAGUCGAUGGGAAACAGGUUAAUAUUCCUGUACUUGGUGUUACUGCGAAGGGGGGACGGAGAAGGCUAUGUUGGCCGGGCGACGGUUGUCCCGGUUUAAGCGUGUAGGCUGGUUUUCCAGGCAAAUCCGGAAAAUCAAGGCUGAGGCGUGAUGACGAGGCACUACGGUGCUGAAGCAACAAAUGCCCUGCUUCCAGGAAAAGCCUCUAAGCAUCAGGUAACAUCAAAUCGUACCCCAAACCGACACAGGUGGUCAGGUAGAGAAUACCAAGGCGCUUGAGAGAACUCGGGUGAAGGAACUAGGCAAAAUGGUGCCGUAACU